CGGUGGGGUAACCCGCAAGGGGGCCAGCCGCCGAAGGUGGGGUAGAUGAUUGGGGUGAAGUCGUAACAAGGUAGCCGUAUCGGAAGGUGCGGCUGGAUCACCUCCUUUCUAUGGAGA
rnacentral:rRNA from 1 species